rnacentral:rRNA from 1 species
CAGCAGCCACGGUAAUACGUAGGUGGCAAGCGUUGUCCGGAAUUAUUGGGCGUAAAGCGCGCGCAGGUGGUUUAAUAAGUCUGAUGUGAAAGCCCACGGCUCAACCGUGGAGGGUCAUUGGAAACUGUUAAACUUGAGCGCAGGAGAGAAAAGUGGAAUUCCUAGUAUAGCGGUGAAAUGCGUAGAGAUUAGGAGGAACACCAGUGGCGAAGGCGGCUUUUUGGCCUGUAACUGACACUGAGGCGCGAAAGCGUGGGGAGCAAACAGGAUUAGAUACCCCGGUAGUCCCUGUCUCUUAUAC